ensembl:snoRNA SNORA70 Small nucleolar RNA SNORA70
CCGCAACCAAUCAAGCCAACCACCAUCCUCCUUUCCCAGUGGGGGCCUCUGUGUGCAACGUCUGCAGAAAGCAGCCUUCUUGCCAGUGGACACAGCCUACUGCUUGUACGGGUUACCCUAAGAGACCUUGGAGACAGCC